GACAGAGGGUGCAAACGUUGUUCGGAUUUACUGGGCGUAAAGCGCGUGUAGGCGGCUUUGCAAGUCGGAUGUGAAAGCCCACGGCUCAACCGUGGAAGUGCAUCCGAAACUGCAUGGCUCGAGUCUCGGAGAGGAAGGUGGAAUGCUUGGUGUAGAGGUGAAAUGCGUAGAUAUCGGGAGGAACACCGUUGGCGAAGGCGACUUUCUGGGCUGCUACUGACGCUGAGGUGCGAAAGCCAGGGGAGCGAACAGG
rnacentral:rRNA from 1 species